rnacentral:rRNA from 1 species
CCUUCGGGGGAAAGACUUUUCGGAGAGGGGAUUGCCCCGCGUUGGGAUUUGGGUAGUUGGUGAGGUAUCGGCUUCACCAAGCCGGACGAUCCCAUAGCUGGUUUGAGAGGAUGAUCAGCAACACUGGGACUGAGACACGGCCCAGACUCCUACGGGAGGCAGCAGUGGGGAAUUUUGGACAAUGGGCGAAAUCUUGAUCCAGCCAUGCCGCGUGAGUGAUGAAGCCCCCUAGGGUCGUAAAGCUCUUUCGCCAGGGAUGAUAAUGACAGUACCUGGUAAAGAAACCCCGGCUAACUCCGUGCCAGCAGCCGCGGUAAUACGGAGGGGGUUAGCGUUGUUCGGAAUUACUGGGCGUAAAGCGCACGUAGGCGGAUUAGUCAGUCAGAGGUGAAAUCCCAGGGCUCAACCCUGGAACUGCCUUUGAUACUGCUAGUCUUGAGUUCGAGAGAGGUGAGUGGAAUUCCGAGUGUAGAGGUGAAAUUCGUAGAUAUUCGGAGGAACACCAGUGGCGAAGGCGGCUCACUGGCUCGAUACUGACGCUGAGGUGCGAAAGUGUGGGGAGCAAACAGGAUUAGAUACCCUGGUAGUCCACACCGUA